AUUGAACGCUGGCGGCAUGCCUUACGCAUGCAAGUCGAACGGUAACAGGCCGCAAGGUGCUGACGAGUGGCGAACGGGUGAGUAAUGCAUCGGAACGUGCCCAGUCGUGGGGGAUAACUGCUCGAAAGAGCAGCUAAUACCGCAUACGAUCUAUGGAUGAAAGCGGGGGACCGUAAGGCCUCGCGCGAUUGGAGCGGGCGAUGUCAGAUUAGGUAGUUGGUGGGGUAAAGGCUCACCAAGCCAACGAUCUGUAGCUGGUCUGAGAGGACGACCAGCCACACUGGGACUGAGACACGGCCCAGACUCCUACGGGAGGCAGCAGUGGGGAAUUUUGGACAAUGGGGGCAACCCUGAUCCAGCAAUGCCGCGUGCAGGAAGAAGGCCUUCGGGUUGUAAACUGCUUUUGUACGGAACGAAACGGUCUGGGUUAAUACCCUGGGCUAAUGACGGUACCGUAAGAAUAAGCACCGGCUAACUACGUGCCAGCCGCCGCAGUAAAAC
rnacentral:rRNA from 1 species